rnacentral:tRNA from 1 species
AGCUCAGUUGGUAGAGCAUGGUGUUUGCAACGUCAGGGUUGUGGGUUCGAUUCCCAC